rnacentral:rRNA from 1 species
GAUGAACGCUGGCGGCGCGCCUAACACAUGCAAGUCGAACGAAGCUUGACGGAUGAUUUCUUCGGAAUGAAACCAGAUAUGACUUAGUGGCGGACGGGUGAGUAACACGUGAGCAACCUGCCUUUCAGAGGGGGAUAACGGCUGGAAACGGUCGCUAAUACCGCAUGAUGUGUUCGGAUGGCAUCAUCUGAACAUCAAAGAUUUAUCGCUGAAAGAUGGGCUCGCGUCUGAUUAGAUAGUUGGUGGGGUAACGGCCUACCAAGUCUACGAUCAGUAGCCGGACUGAGAGGUUGAACGGCCACAUUGGGACUGAGAUACGGCCCAGACUCCUACGGGAGGCAGCAGUGGGGAAUAUUGCACAAUGGGGGAAACCCUGAUGCAGCAACGCCGCGUGAAGGAUGACGGUUUUCGGAUUGUAAACUUCUUUUCUUAGUGACGAAGACAGUGACGGUAGCUAAGGAAUAAGCAUCGGCUAACUACG